AUGGAGAAAAGCCUUGUCUUGCUGGGGUUUGCCCUAGUCUUGGGCCAGGUGUCUUCCAGCCUUCGGAAGACAAAUUUGAAACUGAAGGCUGAUGGAGAGGAAUGCUACCAGCACUCAGAUUGCAGAAGCAGCUGCUGUCUCAUAAGCUUGUACAGGGCUAUGAACUUUUGUGCUCCCAAAGGAAAAAUAGAGAUGCUAUGUUUACCGCAGACAACAGCAAACACAACCAUCCUCUGUCCCUGCCACUGGGGCCUGAGCUGCAGAUCUAUUGAUCACUUCUGUCCACGCCGGUGCCUGAUGUUUUAGAGAAUGGAAUUCGGUGUCCACACCCCUCUGUUCCCCACAGAACCUGAUGUGGCAAGCCCCUGCCUCCUGUACCUUCCUGCCAUCUUCUUCCUCCUCCUCCCUCCCAGCAGGCAGCCCCACCUCCAUCAUCUAGAAUCAGUUUUCUAGCACAUUAAAGCUCCCACCUGAUGACCUCGAAUGGGCCUGACUCGCGUCUUUGUCUCUGGGUAGCUCUUAGGGCCCUGUUGGGGAUGGGACAGGGAGGAUGGAAGAUGCCUCAAAGAGAAAGCUCUGAAGGGACUUAGGAGAACUCGGAAGAAAACCCGGAGAAACCCCAAAUAAAGUCACGAAGAGUCGGACA
rnacentral:lncRNA from 1 species